UACGUAGGGGGCAAGCGUUGGUCCGGAAUCAUUGGGCGUAAAGCGCGCGUAGGCGGCCCGGUAAGUCCGCUCUGAAAGUCCAGGGCUCAACCCUGGAAAGCGGGUGGAUACUGCCGGGCUAGAAUCCGGAAGAGGCGAGUGGAAUUCCUGGUGUAGCGGUGGAAUGCGCAGAUAUCAGGAGGAACACCAAUAGCGAAGGCAGCUCGCUGGGACGGUAUUGACGCUAAGGCGCGAAAAGCGUGGGGAGCGAACGAGG
rnacentral:rRNA from 1 species